rnacentral:rRNA from 1 species
AUCUACAGCCAUGCCACCCUUAACAAGCCCAACCCCAUCUGAUCUCGGAAGCUAAGCAGGGUCAGACCUGGUUUGUACUUGGAUGGGAGACCACCUAGGAAGACUAGGUGCUGUAAGCU